AAUAUAAAGCAAAAAACUAUACUUUUAUUUUUAAUUUCAUUUUAGUAAUUUUUUUUUGGGCAGCUUUGAGAAAUUUUCUGAAAAUGAGUCACUGCUCUUGCUGAUUCAUACCACUGGUCUCUCAGAUUUCAAAAUUUCUUCACUUCAACAGACUAAGGUUUCAAAUAUUACAAGGCACUACUUCUUUGUCUUGAAGUAUGAAAAAAAUUCCAAGCUGUGGAAGUUAUUUGUUGUCGUUGAAAUUUUAACAACAUUUUACCACGAGGAGGAAGAAAUAUCAUUUUGACAAAGGAAAAAAUGGAGUGUAAUAAAGAUGAAGCAAUCAGGGCGAAAGAAAUUGCUGAGAAGAAGUUUAGAGAAAAAGAUUUUGCUGGGGCAAAGAAAUUUGGGUUGAAGGCUCAAAAUUUAUAUCCUGAACUUGAAGGUCUAUCACAAAUGUUGGUGACAUUGGAUGUGCAUCUCUCUGCUGAGAAAAGAACAAUUACUGGUGAAGUUAAUUAUUAUUCUGUGCUUGGCAUAAGCCCCUGGGCUGAUGAUGAGACAAUCAGGAAACAAUAUCGGAAGCUAGCCCUCAUGCUUCACCCUGAUAAAAACAAGUCUUUGGGUGCAGAUGGUGCAUUUAAGCUGGUAUCGGAGGCAUGGAGUUUAUUAUCUGAUAAGGCAAAGAGAGUGGCAUACAAUGACAAAUUGAAUGUGAGACAAUUUCAGCAGAAAAAUUCUACCCACGCCAAGGUUUCCUCUAUGCCAUCUGCUGCUAAUGGCUUUCACAAUAUUAACAGUGCUCGGACAGGGCCGACCUCUGUCCCGUCUCCUUCCGUUCAAAAAUCUGAUACCUUUUGGACUAUCUGCAACAGAUGUAAGACACAAUAUGAGUAUCUGAGGAUGUAUCUUAAUCACACUCUCCUAUGUCCAAACUGCCAUGAGGCUUUUUUUGCUGCGGAGAAGGGUCCUCCUCCAAACGUUCUAAAGACGUCCAAUUAUUCUUCUCGCCAAAAGCAUCACUCUAAACAUCAUUCUGUGAAUAGUAAUAUGUUCAAUGUUGGAGUGAAUUUACCAAGUGAGCCAGAUCUUCAGCGGAAUCAUUCUUCUAGAAUGGCGGGUGCUGGUGGUGCAGUUCAUCAGGCACACCAACAGGUGAAGAGAGAGCAUGAGGAAUCAAGGGCAGGCGCUGACUGGAGGAAUUACACUUCUAUUGGGGCAGACCAACUGUUUAAAAGGAGAAAAUCUGAUGGAAUUCAAGUUUAUUCUUUUGCUGCUGAUUCAGGUUUGGAAAGUGCAUCUGAACAAAGAAAGGGCUAUAAUGGGACAGAAAGGGUUUAUGGUUUUUCCGGUAUUAAUAGUAAGCCCAACAGCAAGAGAGAGUUGUCAUGUGUUGAGCUCCGUAACAUGUUAAUGGAGAAAGCACAAAUGGAUAUUCGUAAAAAGCUUGAAGAGUGGAGAUCAAGUCAAAUGAAGCCAAAAGAAAACAAAAAACAGAAAGGUGUUGUCAGGAAUGGUGCUAUUAACCAUAAGAAGCAUGAUAAUUCUGCUGUUAUGGAAGAAACCAAAGACAAGAAGUCUUCUUUAAGUUUUUCAACCAAUAAUUUGAGUACAGACACAUCGUUGUCUAUAAAUGUUCCGGAUCCUGAUUUUCACAAUUUUGAUUUGGAUCGAACAGAAAGGUCUUUUGGAGAUGACCAGGUUUGGGCUGCCUAUGAUGAAAAUGAUGGAAUGCCUCGUUAUUAUGCUCGAAUUCAGAAGGUGAUAUCCUUGAAGCCAUUUAAGAUGCGUAUAAGCUGGCUUAAUUCAAGAAGUAACACCGAGUUCAGCUCUAUAGAUUGGGUAGGUUCUGGUUUUCCUAAAACUUGUGGGGAUUUCAGAGCUGGCCGAUUUGAAGUUAGUGAUACGUUGAAUUCUUUCUCUCAUAAGGUUAAAUGGGUGAAAGGUGCUCGUGGGAUCAUCCGCAUACUUCCAAGCAAAGGAGAUGUUUGGGCUGUUUACAGAAAUUGGUCCCCAGACUGGAACGAGCAUACUCCGAAUGAAGUGGUACACCGAUAUGACAUGGUGGAAGUGCUUGAUGAUUAUAGUGAAGAGCAAGGUGUUUCUGUUGCUCCUCUUAUUAAGGUUGCUGGUUUCAAGACAGUCUUUAGUAGGCAUAUGGACCUCCAAGAAGUCUGGAAGAUUCCGAGAGAUGAAAUGUUACGGUUUUCUCAUCAGGUCCCAGACCAUCUGCUUACUGGCGAAGAAGCUCAUAAUGCUCCAAAGGGUUGCCGAGAGCUAGACCCAGCUGCUACUCCUUUGGAACUUCUUCAGGUAGUUAUUGAAGCCAACGAGGCGGAAAUGGUGGAUGCCACUUUCACAACUAAGGAAGAAGUAGCUCCUCAUUCUUCCGAAAGCAAGAUUGAUCAGAUUAUUGAGAAUUCCUCCGAAGCUGAAGAGAUCGAGACAAUAGAAAGUGAUGAACAACCCAGUGACAGCUGAUACAUAGAUGGCUAAGGAAGCCGAUGUUGUAGAUGAUCCGUAAAAAGCUCAGAGAUGACCUAACGAGAACUGCUCGAUAUACACCGAUAUAGCAGGUUUUGAGGAAGCCAAGGUUUUUCUUUAAAUGAAUUUCGCCUCCGUGCAUGCGGCUUGUGUUUAGAAUUCAUUGUGCCUCCGUGCGGUUUGUGUUUAGAUCAGAGCAUUAGCCUGCAGUAGUAGCAAGUACUUUGUGUGUGUUAUUUUUUUGGAAAAUCCAGAAGAUUACCAAUCAAGAGGUAUUCUCACAUUACGUAGGUUUCGAGUUCGAGUCUUCACAUCACCACAUCCAUGAUAGUUUAUUACUAUAGUGAGUGUAAAAAAAAUGGGUUACUCCCUAUUCAUUCACCUGUAAAGAGUUUUCGUCGGAUUUGACACUGUUAAUAAUUUUUGUGGAGAGAUUAAAGUCUACAAAAUUAAAUAUAUGAGGAUUGAAUAUAUACAAA